CGACUGAUCUGCAGUUCCAGACCAGUACACCGAGUCCCCUUCAGCAGGACCUGCAGGACCAGGAGCAGAACCUCUGCCCUGAUGAAAUUACUGCAAAGACAAAGGAAGUGGAGGAACCCAAAAAUUUGGAUGAGUCCAUAAGGCUGGAGGAGCCCUCAGGGCUGGAGGAGUCCUCAGGACUGGAGGAGUCCUCAGGGCUGGAGGAACCCACAGGGCUGGAGGAGCCCAAAGAUCUGGAGGAGUCCUCAGGGCUGGAGGAGUCCUCAGGGCUGGAGGAGCCCACAAGGCUGGAGGAGUCCUCAGGGCUGGAGGAACCCACAGGGCUGGAGGAGCCCAAAGAUCUGGAGGAGUCCCCAGGGCUGGAGGAGCCCAGAGAUCUGGAGGAGUCCCCAGGGCUGGAGGAAUCCAUAAAGCUGGAGGAGCCCACAGGGAUGGAGGAGCCCACAGGGAUGGAGGAACCCACAGGGCUGGAGGAGUCCAUAAGGCUGGAGGAGUCCCCAGGGCUGGAGGAGCCCACAGGGCUGGAGGAAGCUGCACUUCCCUGUUGCCUUGAAGAGCCCAGCGAGGUUGCCCCAGCCCCAGGAAUGCAGCUGAGCUGUGCAGCCGAGGCUCCUGUCACCAUUUCAGAUCCCCCUGUGCCCAGCACCGCCUCGGAAUGCUGCCGGGAGCUCUCUCCGUGCUCCAGUCCCAAGCCGAUAUCUGUCUGGCCGAUUAAGAGGAUGCUCGAGUCGAGCAGCGAUUCCCAAUCAGAAAAUUCCUGCGGCUCCCGAGCACGGAGGAAGCGCCAGCGGAGGAAGGCAGCAAAGACUCCUCGGGCAGCGCAGAGCCCCGGGCAGAGCUCCCCCGUUCCCCCGGAGCCCCGCGGUGUCAGCCGCCAGCCCUCCCCGUCGCCGAGCACCCCAAAAGCCCCGGCACCAGCG
rnacentral:lncRNA from 1 species